GACGAACGCUGGCGGCGUGCUUAACACAUGCAAGUCGAGCGGUAAGGCCCUUUCGGGGGUACACGAGCGGCGAACGGGUGAGUAACACGUGGGUGACCUGCCUUUAGCUCUGGGAUAAGCCUGGGAAACCGGGUCUAAUACCGGAUAUGACUCCGCGGCGCAUGUUGUGGGGUGGAAAGCCUUGUGCGGCUGGAGAUGGGCCCGCGGCCUAUCAGCUUGUUGGUGGGGUGAUGGCCUACCAAGGCGACGACGGGUAGCCGGCCUGAGAGGGCGACCGGCCACACUGGGACUGAGACACGGCCCAGACUCCUACGGGAGGCAGCAGUGGGGAAUCUUGC
rnacentral:rRNA from 1 species